AGAUCAAACCCCAAACCUUACACAUGCCAGAUAAGUGAUUCACUGCUAAUCCCAAUCCCCAUCUUCUGCCCACAAGAUUCCUCGGGAGAGUUGGGAGAUGAGGUUGGUAGGGUUCUGGAGACAGGUGGAAAGCAACAUCACCUGUGGAUGGCAACACUUCUUUCCCACAACCUCAUCUGUUCUUCAGACCAAUUGUGCAAUUCUUAUUAAGAAUGUCCUUGUCUGUUUGGAGCUCCGGUGUGUGAAUUUCAGAUGAGCCCGUGCCAGCUUUUAAAUUCACACGGUUUGAAGAGACGAUGCAGUUGCAGCUGAUGGAAGCUUAGUGGCUGAGGAAGCCUGCCUGAAUUAGAAGCCUGUAUUCCAGUGAAGUCUCCAUCUUGCAGUUGCAGGGUUCUGGCUUGUCAUCAGUCAGACCAUAUUUCAAAGUGACGUCACAGCAAUUAACUGAUUGGCUCCUCCCAGCAUCCUGUGGAUAAGGGAGAGAAGGAAGCCAAGAACUUGAACGGUUUUGUGAACUUUGGCUCAAAGCAAGAUAGUGGUAGAGCUGGCACAAGAACUCCAUUCUUCUUCAUUUUACCAAGGAUCCAAGGCCUGGAGCACGGUAUUUAGAACUCUGCAGAAAGCUUCUUGGGUUGUUUAGCAGCAAGGCACUGGAAUGGAAUCAGAAAAUUAGCAUCAAGUUUCCUUUGCUACCUCCUCCAGAUCCACACUGCCUCCAUCUCCCUUAAGAAAAGAGCAGAACUUCAAGAGACAACAACCAAACACAACAAAGCAACAUACAAUAAGACAAGGCAAAGCUCUAAUACUGAGGCUGGACAAGGCAACCCAGCAGGAGGAAGAGUCCCGAGAUCAGAUCAAGGAAGGGCUGAAGAGAUG